rnacentral:rRNA from 1 species
GUCUACGGCCAUACCACCCUGAACGCGCCCGAUCUCGUCUGAUCUCGGAAGCUAAGCAGGGUCGGGCCUGGUUAGUACUUGGAUGGGAGAGAGGUUUCCUCAACC